rnacentral:misc_RNA from 1 species
GCCAGCUGUCCAGGUGGGCGUGCAGCAUGUGACAUGUAUGGCUGACGCGGCACUCUUCGUGGCGCUCGCCGCAGCCGUUGAUCUUAGUGUGGAUGCUUGCCAGCUCUUCUCGCAUAAGCUGAGGAAGGAGCUUUGCCAGGAUUGGGAUGAGUAGUGCAACAGUGUUGAAGAACAAGGGGUUGGGUAUUUGUCCAUUAUCUUUUAAUUAUGGUUUGAUACGAUUGGAGAGCUA